UGAGCAAUCUGCCCUUCUCAUCGGAAUAAGCGUUGGAAACGACGUCUAAUGCCGAAUACGACCUCCUUUCGCAUGAUCGGAGGUGGAAAGCUCCGGCGGAGAAGGAUGAGCUCGCGGCCUAUCAGCUAGUUGGUGUGGGUAAUGGCCCACCAAGGCGACGACGGGUAGCUGGUCUGAGAGGACGGCCAGCCCACACGUGGGACUGAGAUACGGCCCAGACCUCUACGGGAGG
rnacentral:rRNA from 1 species